AUGGAUCUAACAUUCAAUUUGCAUUUCUUCUCAUUAAAUGGUUUCUGUUUCCCAGGCUUCCAGUUGUAUCUUGAGUCAUUGGAUCUUUUCAUUGUGGCUAACUAUUCAUACUAUUCAAAGGUAUUACUUUAUUACACAUUGCUCUAUUUAGGUAUGCAACAAUGCAGCUCUAUGACACUAAAUCUGGACUUGAUAGCAAUACAGGAACCACACCAUCACUGGUGCAUGCUUAAAGGCUAUUGA